UUGUAUAAUGGAGGUGCCGGGGCUGUCGCCAACUUUGUGCACGCCCUGGUGCUCUCUCACAAUCCAUCUCACCCCCUUUGUGCAUCACCGCGUGGGCGCUCUCCUUUUGGUUCGUUCCAAAGGGGGGUUUCACGUUUUAACACAUACACCAAUUUUUAAGAGCAUGUGUAGAAUGUCUUACCUUUUUGCGAUUAUGCGCAAUCAAUA
rnacentral:misc_RNA from 1 species